AACGAACGCUGGCGGCAGGCCUAACACGUGCAAGUCGAGCGGACACUUCGGGGUUAGCGCCGGACGGGUGAGUAACGCGUGGGAAUAUGCCCUUCUCUACGGAAUAGUCUCGGGAAACUGGGGGUAAUACCGUAUACGCCCUUUGGGGGAAAGAUUUAUCGGAGAAGGAUUAGCCCGCGUUGGAUUAGGUAGUUGGUGGGGUAAUGGCCUACCAAGCCGACGAUCCAUAGCUGGUUUGAGAGGAUGAUCAG
rnacentral:rRNA from 1 species